CGAACGGGUGAGUAACGCGUGGUCAACCUACCGUUGAGUGGGGGAUAACUAGCCGAAAGGUUAGCUAAUACCGCAUACGUCUCCGAGGGGCAUCCCUUGGCGAUAAAAGGAGCAAUCCGCUCGAUGACGGGACCGCGUCCCAUUAGCUAGAUGGUGGGGUAAUGGCCUACCAUGGCUCCGAUGGGUAGCUGGUUUGAGAGAGCGACCAGCCACACUGGGACUGAGAAACGGCCCAG
rnacentral:rRNA from 1 species